UCAGCAGCCGCGGUAAUACGUAGGGGGCGAGCGUUGUCCGAAGUUACUGGGCGUAAAGCGCGCGUAGGCGGGGGGUUAAGUGAGAGGUGAAAGGCUGGGGCUCAACCUCAUGCAGUGCCUCUCAUACUGGCCCUCUUGAGGGCGGUAGGGAGAAGUGGAAUGGCUGGUGUAGCGGUGAAAUGCGUAGAUAUCAGUCGGAACACCGGUGGCGAAGGCGGCUUCUUGGGCCGUUCCUGACGCUGAGGCGCGAAAGCUGGGGGAGCGAACGGGAUUAGAUACCCCGGUAGUCCCAGCCGUAAACGAUGGAUACUAGGUGUCGGGGGUAUCGACCCCCCCGGUGCCGCAGCUAACGCAUUAAGUAUCCCGCCUGGGGAGUACGGCCGCAAGGUUGAAACUUAAAGGAAUUGGCGGGGGA
rnacentral:rRNA from 1 species